rnacentral:rRNA from 1 species
GACGAACGCUGGCGGCGUGCUUAACACAUGCAAGUCGAGCGGUAAGGCCCUUUCGGGGUACACGAGCGGCGAACGGGUGAGUAACACGUGGGUGACCUGCCCUCAGCUCUGGGAUAAGCCUGGGAAACCGGGUCUAAUACCGGAUAUGACUCCAUGACGCAUGUUGUGGGGUGGAAAGCCUUGUGCGGCUGAGGAUGGGCCCGCGGCCUAUCAGCUUGUUGGUGGGGUGAUGGCCUACCAAGGCGACGACGGGUAGCCGGCCUGAGAGGGCGACCGGCCACACUGGGACUGAGACACGGCCCAGACUCCUACGGGAGGCAGCAGUGGGGAAUCUUGCGCAAUGGGCGAAAGCCUGACGCAGCGACGCCGCGUGA